AGGGUUUGAUUAUGGCUCAGGACGAACGCUGGCGGCGUGCCUAACACAUGCAAGUCGAACGAAGCACUGCGGAUAGAGACUUCGGUCAAUUGAAGCUUUGACUUAGUGGCGGACGGGUGAGUAACGCGUGAGGAACCUGCCUUUCAGAGGGGGACAACAGUUGGAAACGACUGCUAAUACCGCAUGAAGCAGCGAGAUCGCAUGGUCUUGCUGCCAAAGAUUUAUCGCUGAAAGAUGGCCUCGCGUCUGAUUAGAUAGUUGGUGAGGUAACGGCUCACCAAGUCGACGAUCAGUAGCCGGACUGAGAGGUUGAACGGCCACAUUGGGACUGAGAUACGGCCCAG
rnacentral:rRNA from 1 species